rfam:Mus musculus chromosome 19, GRC primary reference assembly.
CCCCCCCGGCAAUAGACAAAGAGAGACCUUGGUGGUGGUGGUGUUCUUACAUUAGUGGGGGGGGGGGGGCAGAGCAGACGUCAGUCCUUUGUUCAUUCUACCUUGAUGCCUGGUUUGGUAGCCAGAGCUGUUUUAUGCCCAGGACUCAUAA